rnacentral:lncRNA from 1 species
GCAGACCUAAGCUAACACCAGCGCAAACUAUAAGAAACUUCAGUUUUGACAUCACCAUGACUUUAAUUUCCCAUCCAGAUCAUCACUGACUCUUGAAACCAUUAACUCUAACAAGUGUAAGCAUAUUGCCAUGAGAUGACUUAUGCUAUCACCAAUUCAUCAACAUAUAUGUAUAUAUGCACUUAUCUCACAUAGAAAUUUCAAAUCAAAAGGAUCAAUCUCAAAACUAACAGAGAAGAAACAACCCACCAUUGCCACCAGUAGAAUGAGCU